rfam:Streptomyces sp. Root264 contig_81, whole genome shotgun sequence.
CUUCAGCGAGCCCAGCCACAGCGGCUGUUCGGGGGUGUGGUCCUGCCCGUAGGUGGCCAGCAGGGCCUGUGCCUC